UCCAUGCAUUUACAUUUGAAU
ensembl:piRNA 21ur-4500 ncRNA